rnacentral:rRNA from 1 species
UACAGAGGUCUCGAGCGUUGUUCGGAUUCAUUGGGCGUAAAGGGUGCGUAGGCGGUUUGUCGCGUCUGCUGUGAAAACCUGAGGCUCAACCUCAGGCCUGCAGUCGAUACGGGCAGACUAGAGUCCGGCAGGGGGAGACUGGAAUUCCUGGUGUAGCGGUGAAAUGCGCAGAUAUCAGGAGGAACACCGGUGGCGAAGGCGGUUCUCUGGGCAUUACCUGACGCUGGAGGUGCGAAAGCGUGGGGAGCAAACAGG